AUGGAAGUAACUGAAUCCCCCUCAACCUGGCUCAUCAUCAGAGCAGACUGUUGAUUAGCUGCAGGCAAAUAUGAAGAGGCUAUUUCCUGUCACAAAAAGGCCGUGGUGUAUCUUUCUGAAGCUACGGAGCUGACGCGGGCUAAGCAGGCUCACCUUUCACUGGAAUUGCAAAGGCAUAGCCACAUGAAACCGCGCCUCCUCAUCCAGGAGACACGGAAAAGGGCCCAGUAGAACACAGACAAGGAUGGGGCUGCCCAUAUUCAGGCCUCUCACAGCCCCUCUGCUGAAGAUGCAUAAGCACAACCCUCCAAAGAGGAACGCCUGCCCAAGACUCGGGGCGUCUGUGACAGGGAUCCAGACACACGACUGUUUUUCCUUCGGCAACAGAGCCGUGUAUUGGAAGCAAAGCCCCAAAACACGAUGAACAAUAGUAGAGGAGCAGGCAACCCAGUUGCAGAUUUGAAGAGGCGUGUGAAAUUCCUUGUGGCGGAGAAGGAAAGAUUAAGGAAAGAAAGUAAACAGGUAAAGGCUGAAAAGGCCAGACUUCUAAAAGGUCCAGUAGAAAAGGGGCUGGAUGUGGGUGCUGAUUUUGUAGAAAAGUCAGAGUUACGGAGCUUACCUGUGCAUUCAGAAGCUGCUACACCCUCUUCAGCCUUGCGGAGGUUUGCAGCCGAUGCCAGGAAAGCCAAGGACAUUCCAGUACCCGAUCUUCUCCCUCGGAUUUUCCAUCUCCAGAGCUUCCCCUUAUGGAGCUCUCUGAGGAUAUUCCGAAAGGAUUUAUGAGUAAUUAAAAUGGAAGUCCAUAGAAGAAGAGAGAAGAGGAAAUAAUACUAAGUAAUACAAUUAAUCCAGCAACAAAAAACGAAAAGGGAAGGCCACAGGCAAGGGUUAUCCUGGAAAUGCCUCGUCAUCUGGCAUACGGUGGGAGAAGAGGCAUUGCCAGGACGUGGGAAACAGUCACUGAGAAGCGUGUCGCAUAUCUGAUUCACUGGCUUGAGCUAAUGAUGCCGACCUGGCAGACACUAAACUCAUGGAGGGUCAGUUUCUCCUGAUACCAACUAAAUGGCUGCCUGGAAGAAUUUUUUCAAGCAACAAUUAUUUUUCUUAUCUUCAGGGUUAAAAUGUAUAAAAGUAUGUCAUGUGUAAUUAAUCUAUAAUGCCAUAAAUGAUCAUGCAAAACCUAAAUAUUAUGGCAGCCUGAGGGGCUGCUUCAUAUUUGAAACAUGCUUUGUCUCAGGCAUGGAUGUGUGCAUUUUGUUAAUGAUGUUAUGUUUAAGGUGUGUAAGACACACCUUUCUGGAUGAAACCGUAUGUGCCACACUGUGCACUACUCAUAACGAUGAUAACCUCAAGACUAUCAGGGGAAAUACUUAAAUUUCCGUGUUAUGAAGAAAGAAACCAAAUUAUUAGUUAUGCUUUUUAACACAAAUUACCAGUUUACAUAAUUAAUGAGGGUGCAUUUUAAGUUCUAACUUUGUUUAUUGUAUAAUGCAUCAUUUGAAAAUACCAAGGAAGUCUCCUUUGUUUUUAAUGAUCCAUUGAUUGGAAGGAAUGCUAGUCGGCAGUAUUUGAUUGUAAGAAAUCAAUAAAGUAAUUGUGUUUAAAAAAAAAAAAA